AGGCCGUAAACCCAAGGUUUCCAGGGGAAGGUUCGUCCGCCCUGGGUUAGUCGGGACCUAAGCUGAGGCCGAAAGGCGUAGGUGAUGGACAACAGGUUGAUAUUCCUGUACUACCGAUAACCGUUUGAGAGAAGGGAUGACACAGUAGGAUAAGCUAAGCACACUGUUGGUUAUGUGUGCCCAAGCAUUGAGGCAGUCAAAGUAGGUAAAUCCGCUUUGAUAAUGCUGGGAUGUGAUGGGGAGCGAAAUUUAGUAGCGAAGUAGCUGAUUUCACACUGUCAAGAAAAGUCUCUAUCGAGGUUAAAGGUACCCGUACCGCAAACCGACACAGGUG
rnacentral:rRNA from 1 species